rnacentral:lncRNA from 1 species
GUUGGAGAAAAUGGGAUUGAAUAGAAUCACUUGUGAAUAAAUGAGUUAGCCAUGGCAACCUCUUCAUAUUAGGAAGAGAUGAAGGAGAAGAUUGGUAGAAGCCAUCUGAAUGUUGUGAACUGAAGAGAAGAUAAGAAGACUUUCCAGGAUAAUUUGCUCAUUUUUUCCUAGGGGAAUAUGAAAGAAGAUUCUCACCAAAACAGAGAAGGAGGAUCAAUGAGAAGUUUAAGUAAGAUUGAAAAGGUUUGGAAAAGCCAUUCUUGUGAAUGGGAUAAUUAAUUGAGCAAUAAUGUAUAAAAGACCUGCUAUUUUGGCAUAGUUGAGAUUAUGUAAUGAAAAUUUAUAAAGGAUCGAGUCAUCAUAGGAUCAGAAAGUGAUUUAGGGUUUGAAAUAAUCUUAUGUAUCAUAUGUAAAGGCAAAAAAUAAAAAUUUCUGGAUUUGAAAAGUGGCAAGAACCACAAAAACUCACUUGCUGUUGGUAUAGUAUCUGUUUGGGGUGAUAGGGAGAACAACAAUGGACUUGGAAUCUAGAACCCUACAUUCAAAUCCUAACCAUACUAUAUAGGCCUUAGACAAAUCAUUUAAUUUCCAUGGGUUUUGGUUUCAUCAUUCAUGUUGUUUGGAUACAAGAUCAAGUUUGUCAAGUCCCAAGAUAAAACUCAGAAUUCUUUUGAGUUCUACAGAAGACUUGUCAGAUCAGAUAUAUCCCAGGCUGCCAAAUCCUGCUCAUCUGGAUCCCCUCAAGCCAAACCUCUGAGCCUGGCCUUCUCAGUUUCUCAGGACUCAACAUCUUCACAGUGCAAUCAAGUUAAUUUUUGAAGGAGGAGUCUAAUCACCAAUGUACCUCUCUUCAGCCAUUAAACUCUGUCUGAAUUCAUUCAUCAGUGUUUAGCAUACUUUCAUUCUAUCAUAUUCUCCCUGUGCCAGUGAUUAGGAACAGUGAUUGGGACGUCAAUGUACAAUUCAGUUCCUUAUCCCUUAUUGCUCCAUUCCUCACUACCAUCUCCCUCCUUCCUAUACCCAAAUAUUCCAUUCCAAAUCUACUCACCCAUUCAUUAUGCUCUAUGGAAAUCUUGUGCCAUAACAAGUUCCUUAACAAACUUGCUUUCAUUUUAAGACUUUUCCAUUUUCACUCCAUUCAUCUUCUGGCCCUCACUGAGAAUUGGCUGCCAUUGGGGGCCUUUUUUUCCAGAACUGAUUUCCU